rnacentral:rRNA from 1 species
CUGACCUCAGAUCAGGCGGGACUACCCGCUGAACUUAAGCAUAUCAAUAAGCGGAGGAAAAGAAACUAACAAGGAUUCCCCUACUAACUGCGAGUGAAGCGGGAWAAGCUCA